GGGGGUGGGCGGGCGCUCACCAUGCAGUCGAACGAUGAUGCCUAGCUUGCUAGGUGGAUUAGUGGCGAACGGGUGAGUAACACGUGAGUAACCUGCCCCUGACUCUGGGAUAAGCCUGAGAAAUUGGGUCUAAUACUGGAUAUGAGCAUCUAUCGCAUGGUGGGUGUUGGAAAGAUUUUUUGGUUAGGGAUGGACUCGCGGCCUAUCAGCUUGUUGGUGAGGUAGUGGCUCACCAAGGCGACGACGGGUAGCCGGCCUGAGAGGGUGACCGGCCACACUGGGACUGAGACACGGCCCAGACUCCUACGGGAGGCAGCAGUGGGGAAUAUUGCACAAUGGGCGAAAGCCUGAUGCAGCGACGCCGCGUGAGGGAUGACGGCCUUCGGGUUGUAAACCUCUUUCAGUAGGGAAGAAGCGAAAGUGACGGUACCUGCAGAAGAAGCGCCGGCUAACUACGUGCCAGCAGCCGCGGUAAUACGUAGGGCGCAAGCGUUAUCCGGAAUUAUUGGGCGUAAAGAGCUCGUAGGCGGUUUGUCGCGUCUGCCGUGAAAGUCCGGGGCUUAACUCCGGAUCUGCGGUGGGUACGGGCAGGCUAGAGUGCAGUAGGGGAGACUGGAAUUCCUGGUGUAGCGGUGAAAUGCGCAGAUAUCAGGAGGAACACCGAUGGCGAAGGCAGGUCUCUGGGCUGUAACUGACGCUGAGGAGCGAAAGCAUGGGUAGCGAACAGGAUUAGAUACCCUGGUAGUCCAUGCCGUAAACGUUGGGCACUAGGUGUGGGGGACAUUCCACGUUUUCCGCGC
rnacentral:rRNA from 1 species